UGCUGGAAGGCUGUGGAGGGAGAGCUGGUUGGAGAGCUGAGGGCACAGCUGGUGGAAUGCAGGGCGGAAGGCAGGGCCGGGAGCCCGCGGCCUCCCCAGAGCUCUCACACAGAUCCCGCACACCAUCCACAGGCGGGGGAAGGUGGAGGCCAAUCUCCCCUCCCGAGAUUGACGUCUUCAGGCCGGCUGGCAAGCAUGAAACUUGGCCUAAAGAACUACUAUUCCAGAGCAAGAAGCAGCCGAAUGUUCUUACCCAUGGAGUAGUCACCAAUCAGCCCUGCUCGGCCCAGGGGAGGCACUCAUAAAAUGCUUGGCAGGAAGCGGAAAGACGGCACAGCUUCCCUCCCAGAAGCUGGAUACCCGGGAACAGAAUCCUCAGAAUUAGCUCCAAUUUCAUAAACCAUUAAAAA